AAAGUCCAAAACUUGCAAAGGCAUACCCAUUCACUGAAGCUUCAAUGCGAUACAUAUAUUCAACAAACUUUUCUCUGCUAUGUACAGAAAAUUAAAGAUUACAUCAAGACCUUCAACAUUGUCAUGAAGAUUCAUCCUAAAAUCGCGGCAUAAUUCCAGGGCAUCUCAAGAUCUUCAGCAUUUAUAUCUGCAUUCUUCUUGUAGAGAAGAUGUAUAGACGAUAGGUUACUGCAGCAGCUUCAAGCCUUGAAACUAUCAUUUGCAAAAGGUCCAGCACGAGUGAGUUUUACAAUUCCAGCAAAGGAAGUCGCAUCAAAAGGAACUUUCAACCAGAUUAUUGAACUCCUUUUUUAACUGAAAAAAUGCCAGAAGCUCCCUCAAGAGAAGCUCCCCAAAGCCCUGCUCUAAGCAGCACUAACACAUUAACAAGAAAAAUUGGUGCCAUUGUAGAAAAACUUCGUGAAAGCAAAUGCUGUCACUGCCACUCAGUUGACAAGAGAAAGGUAAGUAAGAUAGGAAAUCAUACCAAAGUUAGACAGUUAGCCAACAUCGAGCUAUAUACUUAGUGCACAUCUACCACAUAAAUCAACCAUAUUAUUGUUUUCUCAACUCCAAGUGAAAGACACUAGUAAACAACACCAAUAUGUUAUCAUACAUGAAGAAUGUGAGAUCAAGCUGAUGGAGGCAGAGAAAAUGCUUUUUGACAUUAGUAGCCAUAAAAAUUCACACUAAACUACCUGACAACAAUUAGUACUGCACAUUUUCACAACCUCUACUGAAAGAUUUAACAAUAGCUUCUCCUCAUCACAUGUCGAUAAACCUGGCCUACAUAGUGAAGCUAAAACCAGGCCUGCAUUGCACAGCAACUCAAUAGACCAUCACCAGUCUCUUACUGAAAGAACAAGAGUAAUAUAUGCAAAACAUCUUUCAAGGUUUAACAGAUGGUUCAAAUAACUAAGAUACAUAUAAAAGAAUGGCAUUGUAGCAAGCGGAAGGUAUGCAGAAAAAUAAGCCUCAUAAGAUCUACCCAAAUUGUAGCAUUACACCUACAGCAUAUUAGACGAUUCAUGAGCAUUCAUCGCACAGAUUUUCCUGAAAAGCAAAGUCUGCAGAAAUUGACACGAAAAUCAUACUUGUAGACCUAUAUAUUAGCAAUAAUUAUUUUUUCUUCUGUCUUCAAUGGUGUCCAAUGAUAAGGGUGAGGCAGUUAAUUAACAUCCAGCCCAGUGAAGAUUCAAGCCUGCAAAAUCAUUU
rnacentral:lncRNA from 1 species